rnacentral:rRNA from 1 species
CAGUCGCCGCGGUAAUACGAAGGGUGCAAGCGUUAAUCGGAAUUACUGGGCGUAAAGCGUGCGUAGGCGGUUUGUUAAGUCUGUUGUGAAAUCCCCGGGCUCAACCUGGGAAUGGCAAUGGAUACUGGCAAGCUAGAGUGUGUCAGAGGAUGGUGGAAUUCCCGGUGUAGCGGUGAAAUGCGUAGAGAUCGGGAGGAACAUCAGUGGCGAAGGCGGCCAUCUGGGACAACACUGACGCUGAGGCACGAAAGCGUGGGGAGCAAACAAGAUUAGAUACCCCAGUAGUCCCUGUCUCUUAUAA